AUUGAACGCUGGCGGCAGGCCUAACACAUGCAAGUCGAGCGGAUGAAGGGAGCUUUCUCCUGGUUUCAGCGGCGGACGGGUGAGUAAUGCCUAGGAAUCUGCCUGGUAGUGGGGGAUAACGUCCGGAAACGGGCGCUAAUACCGCAUACGUCCUGAUGGAGAAAGUGGGUGAUCUUCGGACCUCUCGCUAUCAGAUGAGCCUAGGUCGGAUUAGCUAGUUGGUUGGGUAAAGGCCUACCAAGGCGACGAUCCGUUACUGGUCUGAGAGGAUGAUCAGUCACACUGGAGCUGAGACACGGUCAAGACUCCUGAGGGAGGCAGCAGUGGGGAAUAUUGGACAAUGGGCGAAAGCCUGAUCCAGCCAUGCCGAGUGUGUGAAGAAGGUCUUCGGAUUGUAAAGCACGUUAAGUUGGGAGGAAGGGCAGUAAGUUAAUACCUUGCUGUUUUGACGUUACCAACAGAAUAAGCACCGGCUAACUUCGUG
rnacentral:rRNA from 1 species